GCCGACGUAGCUCAAUUGGCAGAGCAGCUGAAUCGUAAUCAGCAGGUUACCGGUUCGACUCCGGUCGUCGGCUCCA
rnacentral:tRNA from 1 species